AACGCACCUUGCGCUCCUUGGUAUUCCGAGGAGCAUGCCUGUUUGAGUGUCAUUAAAUUCUCAACCAUGUCUCGAUUGAUUUCGAGCGCAUGGCUUGGAUGUGGGGGCUGCUGGCGGCGCGAGCCGUCGGCUCUCCUGAAAUGCAUUAGCAAAGUCGAGUCUUUUCGUGCACGGCCUUUCGACGUGAUAAUGAUCGUCGUGGCUGGAGCGAGAGGCGUGAAUCGUCGUUGCUUCCAAUACUGCUGAUCCUCGCGGAUCGCGCUUUCUUAAGCUUGACCUCAAAUCAGGUAGGACUACCCGCUGAACUUAA
rnacentral:misc_RNA from 1 species